GGCCAUCUGAGAGCUCAUUUGGUAGAGCAUGAUACUCUUCAUCUCAGGGUCAUGGAUUUGAGCCUCAUGUUGGGCA